AGUCUCGACAUAAGCCCGAUCGGUCUUCUCGUUCUGCUUUUAUUCCUAAUGCAAGUUUCGCAUUGUUUGCAGAAUUUGUCGACAAUUCGGUCCAUAUUUUUGAAAUAAUAAAAGGAUCGGAUUUUUUUCAAUAUGUGAUUCCUUCCAACAUGGCCAAAGAAAUCAUGCACCGUCUUUAUGAUAUGGUCGCCAAACUCUUGUGAGACGAAUAUACGUUGGCGUCCUUUAAUAUUUUAAAAAAAAAUCUCUGAUUUUUUUAUAAGGUCUUUCGUAUUUUUAAUAUCUUCUCUGUUUUCUUUCUGAUCUCGGAUUAUAUCUUGCUUUUUAUAAUAUUCGCUACUUUCAAAACCUCUUCUUCGUUCUCAAAACUUUCUAAGACGGGGUUCCUGGAUAGUGCGACUGCCUCUAUGUUGUGUUUUCCUGGUGAGUAGAUGAUUUUGAAGUCGUACUGCGAUAAGUAGUGCAUCAGGUCUCCAAAAGUUUCAUCGGUUCUUGCUUUGAUUCUCAUUGAUUCCAACGGUUUAUGGUCUGAAAGGACAGUGAAGUAUCUACCGAUUAACUAAUGCUGCCAGUACUGAAUCGCCUCUUUGAUAGCAAGAUAUUCAAGGUGGAUUGCUUUGGUAAGCGAUUAGUAUCUGCGAAUUCGUAGAAUUCGUGGAUAAUUCUCGAGCUGUUUCGUGCGUACGCGAUUUUAAGUGGCACGCAAACAGGUGCACCUAUUCGCGUAGCGCAAGAAAUGUAUCACGGAGGUCGUUGCAGGUAAUAUCCAUCGACAGACGGGACAAUUCGGGUGCACAAUCUAUGCCUAUGACUGUGCAGUAGGGCAUACUCUUCUCGACCACUUGUCUGGCGCCAACCACCACUAUUGUCUCGCGAAGGCCAAGCUGUAAAUCUUCGUUGCUUAUACCGUUUUCUUGAAACGACGUUGCGACACAAUCUUCCAGUGUGAGUGGUAGCUUAUUCGGUAAGGGAAAUCACAGUUAAAUUUCAUAAUACGGUAUUUUUAUCGGUACGUAGAACGUUCUCCGGUAAAACAUCAAAAUUAUUCAAUUUUGCAAUUUACAAUGUUUUCUUCGCGCAAGUACCCUUCAAGUAAAUUUAUUAAUUUACUGCAGAGAUUACUCGCGUGUUUUUAUUCUUCGAAAGAAUUGCAAAUUAAGCGUCUAACGCAAUUUUACGUCGUGCAUAUUUAUGCGCAACUGUGAUACGAAUUCAGAGGUUCGAUAAGGAAAAAAAAGAAAAAUGAAAAAAUAAUGUGUAUUCUGUGCAACCACGGAGAAAGGAAUAUCCGUUGAACAACCAGUUUGUGAAAUAUCGAUUGAAUUUUUUACCGAAUAACUUGCUGAAAAUAACGUCAAUUGUUUUAAAAUUAAUAAAAUUUGUAUUCCAUGCAAAGAUAUUAAACCGAUAGAAAUGCCGAUUUUA